rnacentral:rRNA from 1 species
GACGAACGCUGGCGGCGUGCCUAAUACAUGCAAGUUGAGCGCUGAAGGUUGGUACUUGUACCGACUGGAUGAGCAGCGAACGGGUGAGUAACGCGUGGGGAAUCUGCCUUUGAGCGGGGGACAACAUUUGGAAACGAAUGCUAAUACCGCAUAAAAACUUUAAACACAAGGUUUAAUUUUGAAAGAUGCAAUUGCAUCACUCUAAGAUGAUCCCGCGUUGUAUUAGCUAGUUGGUGAGGUAAAGGCCCACCAAGGCGGUGAUACAUAGCCGACCUUAGAGGGUGGUCGGCCACCUUGGGACUGGGAACAGGCCCAAACUCCUAAGGGAAGCAGCAGUAGGGAAUCUUCGGCAAUGGACGAAAGUCUGAACGGGCAACGCCGCGUGAGUGAAGAAGGUUUUCGGAUCGUAAAACUCUGUUGGUAGAGAAGAACGUUGGUGAGAGUGGAAAGCUCAUCAAGUGACGGUAACUACCCAGAAAGGGACGGCUAACUACGUG